UACGUAGGGUGCAAGCGUUAAUCGGAAUUACUGGGCGUAAAGCGUGCGCAGGCGGUUUUUUAAGCCAGAUGUGAAAUUCCCGAGCUUAACUUGGGAACUGCAUUUGGGACUGGAAGGCUAGAGUAUGGCAGAGGGGGGUGGAAUUCCACGUGUAGCAGUGAAAUGCGUAGAGAUGUGGAGGAACACCGAUGGCGAAGGCAGCCCCCUGGGCCUAUACUGACGCUCAUGCACGAAAGCGUGGGGAGCAAACAGGAUUAGAAACCCC
rnacentral:rRNA from 1 species